rnacentral:rRNA from 1 species
GAUGAAUGCUGACAGAAUGCUUAACACAUGCAAGUCAACUGUGGCGGACGGGUGAGUAACGCGUAAAGAACUUGCCUCACAGCUAGGGACAACAUUUGGAAACGAAUGCUAAUACCUGAUACUGUGAGAGAGCUUUGCGUCCCAUUAGCUAGUUGGAGAGGUAACGGCUCACCAAGGCGAGGAUGGGUAGCCGGCCUGAGAGGGUGAUAGGCCACAAGGGGACUGGGGAAUGGCCCUUACGGCAACGGGAGGAAGGAGCGGGGAAUAGUGGACAAGGGACCAAAGUCUGAUCCAGCAAUUCUGUGUGCACGAUGAAGUUGUAGGAAUGUAAAGUGCUUUCAGUUGGGAAGCGGUACCAACAGAAGAAGUGACGGCUAAAUACGUGCCAGCAGCCGCGGUAAUUC